UACAGAGGGGGCGAGCGUUAUUCGGAAUUAUUGGGCGUAAAGGGCGCGUAGGCGGCUUUUCAAGUGACGGGUGAAAUCCCUCGGCUUAACCGAGGAACUGCCUGUCAGACUGGAAGGCUUGAGACCGGGAGAGCUGAGUGGAAUUCCCAGUGUAGCGGUGAAAUGCGUAGAUAUUGGGAGGAACACCAGUGGCGAAGGCGGCUCACUGGACCGGUACUGACGCUGAGGCGCGAAAGCGUGGGGAGCGAACAGG
rnacentral:rRNA from 1 species